GUGAGGAAUAUUGCGCAAUGGAGGCAACUCUGACGCAGCCAUGCCGCGUGCAGGAAGAAGGCGCUACGCGUUGUAAACUGCUUUUAACCGGGAAGAAACCCCAGGACGUGUCCUGGGUUGACGGUACCGGAGGAAUAAGCACCGGCUAACUUCGUGCCAGCAGCCGCGGUAAUACGAAGGGUGCAAGCGAUAUCCGGAUUCAUUGGGUUUAAAGGGUGCGUAGGCGGAGCGUUAAGUCAGUGGUGAAAUCCUGCAGCUUAACUGUAGACUUGCCAUUGAUACUGGCGCUCUUGAGUGCGCUUGAAGUGGGCGGAAUGUGCCGUGUAGCGGUGAAAUGCUUAGAUAUGGCACAGAACACCAAUUGCGAAGGCAGCUCACUAAGGCGAUACUGACGCUGAGGCACGAAAGCGUGGGGAUCGAACAGGAUUAGAAACCCGUGUAGUCC
rnacentral:rRNA from 1 species